UGACGCUGGCGGCAGGCCUAACACAUGCAAGUCGAGCGGCAGCGGAAAGUAGCUUGCUACUUUGCCGGCGAGCGGCGGACGGGUGAGUAAUGUCUGGGAAACUGCCUGAUGGAGGGGGAUAACUACUGGAAACGGUAGCUAAUACCGCAUGACCUCGAAAGAGCAAAGUGGGGGAUCUUCGGACCUCACGCCAUCGGAUGUGCCCAGAUGGGAUUAGCUAGUAGGUGAGGUAAUGGCUCACCUAGGCGACGAUCCCUAGCUGGUCUGAGAGGAUGACCAGCCACACUGGAACUGAGACACGGUCCAGACUCCUACGGGAGGCAGCAGUGGGGAAUAUUGCACAAUGGGCGCAAGCCUGAUGCAGCCAUGCCGCGUGUGUGAAGAAGGCCUUAGGGUUGUAAAGCACUUUCAGCGAGGAGGAAGGCAUCAUACUUAAUACGUGUGGUGAUUGACGUUACUCGCAGAAGAAGCACCGGCUAACUCCGUGCCAGCAGCCGCGGUAAUACGGAGGGUGCAAGCGUUAAUCGGAAUUACUGGGCGUAAAGCGCACGCAGGCGGUUUGUUAAGUCAGAUGUGAAAUCCCCGCGCUUAACGUGGGAACUGCAUUUGAAACUGGCAAGCUAGAGUCUUGUAGAGGGGGGUAGAAUUCCAGGUGUAGCGGUGAAAUGCGUAGAGAUCUGGAGGAAU
rnacentral:rRNA from 1 species